GAGCAAAGAAAACAAAUGUAUAUUACUUUGAUAUGCGUGUUACAGUGUCUGUUGAAUAAUAAACCUCCCAUUCAUAUAAUAGGAGAGUUUCACCCUAAGUACAAUUCUAAAAAAGGUAAAAAACUUCCUUUUCGCUAAUCACUCAUAUGUUGCUGAUAUUGGCCGAGAUCCGCACCGUGAUAUCCGGUUGGGCACGGAUAUCACGGACCUUCGUUAAUCGUGUGUGGGCGUUUGGUAAUACUUUUUGAGGUCUUGGAACACGAACCGGAUCCGGGGGUGUGGUCUCGAUGGUUCCGGGGGCAGGCAUUUUGUUCGGCCUUGAUGCGAGAGGCUCCUAGCUCUGAUUUCGGUUCUUUGUAGUUACGUCCUUGCUUCGUUUGCUCUACCGAAAAAUUGGGGUGCUCGUUAGCCUCGGUUUUACCCGUAUACAACUUGCAACUCUUCAACCAAUUAUCAAAAAAUACUUUUUAAAAUAUAAGUAUCUUCAGAAAAUAUUUUUAGAAAUUGAUUUACCAAAGUUGGUUAAGGGAGAGUUUGCGUUAUUUAUUAACCAGAAUCAAUACUCAAAAACGUACAAAGACUAGUAUAUCUAAGGGCUUCCUGACUCAGCUCGAGUUUAGAUCAUACCUUGACAUCAAAUAUCAAUUCCUACUUGUUUAGUUACAUCCUCUCGUGAUCUUUGUCAUGGAGGAACUUUGUGUCCCAGUAGCAUUCGUUAGCCUACCUGCCAAUAAAAUGAAUUUAUCGGAGGAGAAGAAUAUAGUCUGUUAGACAAUGAGUUUUACUCGAAUAGUUGUACUUAAAUGAUAAUUACAUGUAAGAAUUCAUAAAAAGUAAGAUUAGUAAACUGAAAAAAUUGGAAAGUUACGCACUACAACAUGUUAAGUCAAAAAUUUUCACUCUAUUAGCGUAUAUCAUGACGAAGUUUCUCCACUUUCCAUAAAGACCUCCAGCACUUGCACAAACAAAAGUAAUUACUAUAAGAUACUAAUGUCGGAAGCCUUUGAAGGAGAGUGAAC
rnacentral:lncRNA from 1 species